rnacentral:rRNA from 1 species
AAUGUAACGCUAGCGGCGUGCCUUAUGCAUGCAAGUCGAACGGUCUUAAGCAAUUAAGAUAGUGGCGAACGGGUGAGUAACGCGUAAGUAACCUACCUCUAAGUGGGGGAUAGCUUCGGGAAACUGAAGGUAAUACCGCAUGUGGUGGGCCGACAUAUGUUGGUUCACUAAAGCCGUAAGGCGCUUGGUGAGGGGCUUGCGUCCGAUUAGCUAGUUGGUGGGGUAAUGGCCCACCAAGGCUUCGAUCGGUAGCUGGUCUGAGAGGAUGAUCAGCCACACUGGGACUGAGACACGGCCCAGACUCCUACGGGAGGCAGCAGCAAGGAAUCUUGGGCAAUGGGCGAAAGCCUGACCCAGCAACGCCGCGUGAGGGAUGAAGGCUUUCGGGUUGUAAACCUCUUUUCAUAGGGAAGAAUAAUGACGGUACCUGUGGAAUAAGCUUCGGCUAACUACGU